CCUACGGGAGGCAGCAGUGGGGAAUAUUGGGCAAUGGGCGCAAGCCUGACCCAGCAACGCCGCGUGAAGGAAGAAGGCUUUCGGGUUGUAAACUUCUUUUCUGAGGGACGAAGAAAGUGACGGUACCUCAGGAAUAAGCCACGGCUAACUACGUGCCAGCAGCCGCGGUAAUCCGUAGGUGGCAAGCGUUAUCCGGAUUUAUUGGGUGUAAAGGGCGUGUAGGCGGGAAAGCAAGUCAGAUGUGAAAACUCAGGGCUCAACUCUGACCCUGCAUUUGAAACUGUUUUUCUUGAGUGCGGGAGCGGUAAUCGGAAUGUCUGGUGUAGCGGUGAAAUGCGUAGAUAUACUGAGGAACACCAAUGGCGAAGGCGGAUUACUGGACAGUAACUGACGCUGAGGCGCGAAAGCGUGGGGAGCAAACAGGAUUAGAUACCCGUGUAGUC
rnacentral:rRNA from 1 species